UCAUGCCAAUGGCACUGCCCGGUAGCUAAAUGCGGAAGAGAUAAGUGCUGAAAGCAUCUAAGCACGAAACUUGCCCCGAGAUGAGUUCUCCCUGACUCCUUGAGAGUCCUGAAGGAACGUUGAAGACGACGACGUUGAUAGGCCGGGUGUGUAAGCGCAGCGAUGCGUUGAGCUAACCGGUACUAAUGAACCGUGAGGCUUAACCUUACAACGCCGAAGGUGUUU
rnacentral:rRNA from 1 species